GGGAGCAACGCCAAAUCAACCCAAUGUUCUUGCGAAGGUUGAAACAUUUCCCAAUAAAUUGCUAAUUGCAAGGAACAAGCUGCUGCAAUAGACGUCUCUUCCUUUGCUCCUGCUGAGGAGUACCCGCCGAUUGUAUGUGCCUGUGAUUCUAUUAAUUAAGGGAUUAGGCUCGAUCUGCUCUGACUACAUGAUUCUAAGACAUUACUCCAGGUGCCAUCUAAGGAUUU